UUCCACGGCCUGCGGAGGAAACCCACCUCCCACUGCGAUGAGCUGGUCAGCAUAGGCGCGGCACACAAUGAUUUUUCACAUUUAAACAGUACGGUGACAUUUACAAUUUAGAAGAUGUGCAAGUUUUCACCAAAAUUGGAUAAGCAGUGGAGAAACUGAGAAAUGGAGGAAUUUUAAUGAGUUGAUUCUAAGAUGAGAAAUAUCUUUUACAGAAAGCUACUUCGCCUUGCUGCUGUGUCCCAUGGAGACACGGAAUAUCACAGCAGCAGCGUGUGGGAGAGGAGCCUGUGUACUUCAGAAAGCAAAGAGAAGGGACAGAAGGUGCCUGCUUUGAGGGCGAUACCCUGUGACCUUGCUUCCUCCAAAGAUGCCCCACCUCUCACAGCUCCAUCAUUAUCCAGUGUGACCAAAGGUUGGAGACCAAGUCUUGACCACAAGAUAUUUCAGAUCUAAACUGUAGGAUGCAUGUAUAUUUCAUAUGCAUAUAUAUAUAUAUAUACACAAGAAAACAUAUAUAUAUGUAGUAUAUAAAUGAGCAGAUUUGUA